AAAGUACUGAUAAGGACUAGAUAGAAUUGUGGUUUAUGCCUGUUUAAGUUACAAAUGAUUUUCUUUCCAGGGACAGGGUUUUUGAUUUUGAGGUCUGUCUUAUGCAGCAAUGCACAGACUCGAGUCCAGGUGGGGGUACGAUCGGGAAAAGAUCAGCAAACAACACGAGUGGACGUCAUUGAUUGUCUAAAAUCUACUUUAUUUUGGUUUUAUGUAUGUCUGGAUUAGUGAUAUAAACGUAUACCAAUGCCCUU
rnacentral:misc_RNA from 1 species